rnacentral:rRNA from 1 species
AGAGUUUGAUCAUGGCUCAGGAUGAACGCUAGCUACAGGCUUAACACAUGCAAGUCGAGGGGGCAGCAUCAUCAAAAGCUUGCUUUGAUGGAUGGCGACCGGCGCACGGGUGAGUAACACGUAUCCAACCUGCCGACAACACUGGGAUAGCCUUUACGAAAGAAAGAUUAAUACCGGAUGGCAUAGUUUUCCCGCAUGGGAUAAUUAUUAAAGUAAUUUCGGUUAGUCGUAGUGGGGAUGUCGUUCCAGUUAGGCAGGUUGGCGGGGUAACGGCCACCAAACCUACGAGUGGA